GACCAAGUGCUCCGACAGCAGUAUUUCUCAAUGCAAUAACAAUAUUGGAAGUUUUACAUGUACAUGUAACAUGGGAUACAGGUUUAAUGGUACCAACUGCAUUGAUGUUGACGAGUGUUUGACUCAGUGUAAAGGAACAGGAUCCGAAUGCACGAACACAAUUGGAAGUUUUACGUGUAAAUGCAUCACCGGAUACAAGGGAGACGGCUUCACUUGUGACGAUGUUGACGAGUGUUUGACUCAGUGUAAAGGAACAGUAUCCGAAUGCACGAACACAAUUGGAAGUUUUACGUGUAAAUGCAUCACCGGAUACAAGGGAGACGGCUUCACUUGUGACGAUGUUGACGAGUGUUUGACUCAGUGUAAAGGAACAGGAUCCGAAUGCACGAACACAAUUGGAAAUUUUACGUGUAAAUGCAUCACCGGAUACAAUGGAAACGGCUUCACUUGUUACAGUCAGGUUGUUGUGCUAUUGGCAGUUACAGCACUACAAUCACACACAGGCUACUACCUAAGUGGAUCAAGUACAGCACACGUUGGACAGUCCUUUUUACCAUCGUGUGUGGUUUUCGAACUGGAUUCUGGUGCUAGUGGUCAGUAUAUACAACUGAUCAAUACUAAUACCAAUGCAACUGUAGCUGAACAGGGAGCGUUUACUGUUCCACCCUCCGGCCAUACAUUACUAUACUGGAACACCUCAUCACAUGACACUCUGGACCCAACCUACACUGGACUGUACAGGUGUAUUACAGAUACAGCAAUGUCAGAAGAGACAUAUCAAAUCAAUGUUGUAGUUCCACCUACCAUACUGUCAUUCAACACAUCGCAUUAUGUGGACAACAACAACACUAUUCACCCAAUCAGUUGUACAGGUCAGGGAUACCCAGAACCUACAGUGACACUAAUGGUCAAUAAUGUGGUAGUGACAGGCACUGCUACCAGCAAUUGUACUGCUGGUGUUUGUACAAAGACACGAACAGCAUCUCUAGAUGGUAGUACCUACACACCUGGCCAGUCCAUCAAUAUCACCUGUACUGUGGAUAUCAACCAACCACCAUUCACAUGUACUGCUACUAAUGUUCAUGAAAUACAAGCACGGUGUUAUAAUGCUGCCAAGACUACGUCACAAACAAGAACUGUCCCUGUAGUUGCACCCUGUCCCCUGUUCGAUCCCUCUCGUGGUUAUGAUUUCAAUGCUACAUUCUCCAAUGCCUCUGGAACUGUUCUGGGAAUUUCAUGUCGUGCCGGCUUUACUGUGGAUACUAGUAUGAGUUCCAUUGACACAAUAACAUGUCAGGGUAAUAGAAUGUGGACACCUCUUCCGAAUUGCACAGACGUGAAUGAGUGUUUGACCAAGUGUUCUGACAGCAGUAUUUCUCAAUGCCAGAACACUAUGGGAAGUUUUACAUGUACAUGUAACAUGGGAUACAGGUUUAAUGGAACCAACUGCAUUGAUAUCGAUGAGUGUAACAGCAUGUGUGAUAGUACAUCGUCACAAUGCAACAACACUUUGGGAAGUUAUUCGUGCAUCUGCAAUCCUGGAUACACUGCUGAUGGGACUACCUGUGCAGUGGCUAUUCCUAGUGGAAAGUCCAGGGUGAGCGGUGGGGCAAUGGCAGUCAUGGCCAGCUUGCUAGUGAUUGUAUUGAUUUGAGGCAUUGUUUUCACUCUGCCUAGGAAAGAUUCUCCUGGAUUGGGGAAACAUAUUUCUAUGACAGAGAUGAAUACUUAUGACUCCAACUGGAGUACCGGAACAGUGGGAAAGUUUUCUACAAGCCUUGGCAAGUGGAAAAACCUGACGACCAGUUCCAGUCAUUGUUAGCAUUCCUGUAGUGUUACACCACGCAUACACAUGCAUGCAUAUGUCAACACACAUAUACACAAUUAUUAUGCAUGACUGUAAGAGGUAAUAAUCAGUACGCAUUUCACACGAUGUCACCUGAUGCCAUUAUUUCACUUCGUGUUGGUACUUCUCUAGUACUGUGAUGCUACUUGCAUGAAGCUAAUCUUGGUCUAAGGACAUAUUGGUAGGAAAUAUUGAUAAGGAAACUUAGCAUUGAUUGAAUUGAAGCAUGCACGAUUUCAGGUUUGUCUAUUAUGACGGUUUACCUCUCCUGGUGGUCCAUCAGGUUUUCAUGCCUUUGGAUGUAUUGUCAAUGUCGCUGCAUUCAGCUUGAAGAUAUUAAUUUUGAUUUUUCAUUGAUACUGGAGUGAGCAUUCUAACAACACAGUCAUAGUGCCUAUCGUAAAUGCAUUUCCACUGAUAUCUUGUGAAGGAGUAUUUUCGCUUCGCACUGUUACAUUUUGCCUCCAAGUUUGUUAUCACAAAUCGAUACUGUUGUUGAUAAAUGUCGCUGCAAUCAGCUAGAACAGUUGGUUUUCCAUUGAUCGA